rnacentral:rRNA from 1 species
UGGGCGUAAAGGGCUCGUAGGUGGUUGAUCGCGUCGGAAGUGUAAUCUUGGGGCUUAACCCUGAGCGUGCUUUCGAUACGGGUUGACUUGAGGAAGGUAGGGGAGAAUGGAAUUCCUGGUGGAGCGGUGGAAUGCGCAGAUAUCAGGAGGAACACCAGUGGCGAAGGCGGUUCUCUGGGCCUUUCCUGACGCUGAGGAGCGAAAGCGUGGGGAGCGAACAGGCUUAGAUACCCUGGUAGUCCACGCUGUAAACGGUGGGUACUAGGUGUGGGGUCCAUUCCACGGGUUCCGUGCCGUAGCUAACGCUUUAAGUACCCCGCCCGGGGAGUACGGCCGCAAGGCUAAAACUCAAAGGAAUUGACGGGGCCCCGCACAAGCGGCGGAGCAUGCGGAUUAAUUCGAUGCAACGCGUAGAACCUUACCUGGGUUUGACAUGGAUCGGGAGUGCUCAGAGAUGGGUGUGCCUCUUUUGGGGUCGGUUCACAGGUGGUGCAUGCCUGUCGUCAGCUCGUGUCGUGAGAUGUUGGGUUAAGUCCCGCAACGAGCGCAACCCUUGUUCACUGUUGCCAGCACGUUAUGGUGGGGACUCAGUGGAGACCGCCGGGGUCAACUCGGAGGAAGGUGGGGAUGACGUCAAGUCAUCAUGCCCCUUAUGUCCAGGGCUUCACGCAUGCUACAAUGGCUGGUACAGAGAGUGGCGAGCCUGUGAGGGUGAGCGAAUCUCGGAAAGCCGGUCUCAGUUCGGAUUGGGGUCUGCAACUCGACCUCAUGAAGUCGGAGUCGCUA